GACGAACGCUGGCGGCGUGCCUAAUACAUGCAAGUCGAGCGGAUGAAAGAGGAGCUUGCUCCUCUAGAUUCAGCGGCGGACGGGUGAGUAACACGUGGGCAACCUGCCCUGUAGAUUGGGAUAACUCCGGGAAACCGGGGCUAAUACCGAAUAAUCCUUCGGACCUCAUGGUCCGAUGUUGAAAGACGGUUUCGGCUGUCACUACAGGAUGGGCCCGCGGCGCAUUAGCUAGUUGGUGAGGUAACGGCUCACCAAGGCCACGAUGCGUAGCCGACCUGGGAGGGUGAUCGGACACACUGGGACUGAGACACGGCCCAGACUCCUACGGGAGGCAGCAGUAGGGAAUCUUCCACAAUGGACGAAAGUCUGAUGGAGCAACGCCGCGUGAGUGAAGAAGGUUCUCGGAUCGUAAAACUCUGUUGUGAGGGAAGAACAAGUACCGGAGUAACUGCCGGUGCCUUGACGGUACCUCAUUAGAAGGCCACGGCUAACUACGUGCCAGCAGCCGCCGUAA
rnacentral:rRNA from 1 species